rnacentral:rRNA from 1 species
UACGAGGGGGGGCGAGCGUUGUUCGGAAUCACUGGGCGUAAAGAGUGCGUAGGCGGUUAUAAAAAGUUAGGAGUGAAAGCCCCAGGCUCAACUUGGGAAUUGCUCUUAAUACUGUAUAACUCGAAUUCGGGAGAGGAUAGCGGAAUUCUCAGUGUAGCAGUGAAAUGCGUAGAUAUUGAGAGGAACACCAGUGGCGUAAGCGGCUAUCUGGACCGACAUUGACGCUGAGGCACGAAAGCGUGGGGAGUCAAACAGGA